CAAACGCAUUUUACUCACAGUACUCAAGCUGACUUACCUUUGCUUGAAUGAUGGCGUACUCACAACGUAGAGGCUUAAAAAUAGCCAAAUCUUGUACCCAGUCCUUGGUGAAUUGGAUGUGCGCCUCCAGAGAUUUAUAAUUGCGAAAUUGGUGCGCCGUGUAUGCGCUGACUCCACAGACAAGGUACCAGAGUAGAUCAUGCUAAGUCAAUAGCGGUUUGGUCUUCAGGGUUUCUACUCCACGGCAGUAUUUCAUACGGGUCCACAUUUCAACAAUCAAGUACCGUCUCUUUGCAUCUGGACACAAUCUGUCUCUAUACUGUCAUUUUUUUUGGAGCUACGUUUCAGAAUGGUUCGUAGCAAUCUUGUUUUGAUUCGUGGCCUGCCAAGAUGGUGCUGCGCUCCCACAAUGCAUUGCGACAUUACGUCAACGCCAAAGCCCUUUGCGUGCAGGAGAGUAUGCGCAUGCGCAUUGCCAUGGUGGUUUAAAAAAUAAAGAUAUAAUGAAAAGUAAUUAAUAAAAAUCAAAUAUUUAAACAUUCCCACAAAUGUGCAAUGAACGUGCAAAAACUCUCUUUAUUAGUUGUUGCUGUUUCUUUCUUUGUUCCUUUUUUUUUUUGAAAAAUAACGACGUCUCUGAGGCGCGAAUUCCGACAGUGAGAGGAACGGCCGGAUACGGGACACGGGAAGAAACAAGCCGAUUAUGUUCGCGUUAAUUAGGUGGUUGGAAGAUGUAAAAUUCUCAAUUCUGCCAACUGAACAUAUACGAGAUUUUAAUGAGGAUGAAUAAUUAGCCGGCAUGGAGGAAACGGACCUUUAUUUGGUGGAGUGGCGACAAGAAGCCAAAAGACGGGUGGCCGGUCUAUGAAGCCUCCAUCAUCAAGCUAGCAGAAAUCCCACCUGUCCUUCUGGCUACAGAGCACUUACUUACCAAGCCCAUGAAAUCGAAUGCAGAUGUUCCUGAUGUGAGAUUUACAUAAAUAUGUCAAAGUCUCAACCUCAUGCUGCCCUCCCCCAUCCUCCUAAACCUGUGGAUACAAAUGCAGAUUUCCUUAAUGUUCAAUGGUGCGUGUUCUUCUAAUGGCUGUCUUCCCACUGGAGGUUUUGAUCCACAGCAAUUUAAAAGGAGGACAAAUCAAAACGGACAUCGGCGCAGAGCGAAGAACUGCCCUUGAUAAGGACACUAUGACAGCCAUAUAUAUGGCCGUAAGGAAGAGGUUUCCCAAUGUGUCCAGAAGGGCUUUGAGGAUUGCAGUGAAAGCUGGGGGAACUGAGACUGCUGGAAAAGGAAAAGAAAUUACAUUUAAAGUAUGUUGACUUAUGUUAAUACAAUCACACACACAUAUACACAUACACA